GGCAAGAUGGCCGAGCGGUCUAAGGCGCCACGUUAAGGUUAUCAAAAAACUCUUAAUCAACAUCCUUCUAAACAUUGGAUUCCGUGGUCCGAAAGGGCGUGGGUUCGAAUCCCACUCUUGUCA